rnacentral:rRNA from 1 species
CGUGAGAAUCUGGCUUUAGGUUCGGGACAACAGUGGGAAACUGCUGCUAAUACCGAAUGUGCAGAAAUGUGAAAGAUUAAUUGCCUGAAGAUGAGCUCGCGUCUGAUUAGCUAGUUGGUGAGGUAAAGGCUCACCAAGGCGACGAUCAGUAACUGGUCUGAGAGGAUGACCAGUCACACUGGGACUGAGACACGGCCCAGACUCCUACGGGAGGCAGCAGUGGGGAAUUUUCCGCAAUGGGCGAAAGCCUGACGGAGCAAUACCGCGUGAGGGAGGAAGGCUCUUGGGUUGUAAACCUCUUUUCUCAGGGAAGAAAAAAAUGACGGUACCUGAGGAAUAAGCAUCGGCUAACUCCGUGCCAGCAGCCGCGGUAAUACGGAGGAUGCAAGCGUUAUCCGGAAUUAUUGGGCGUAAAGCGUCCGCAGGUGGCAAUUCAAGUCUGCUGUCAAAGGUCAGGGCUUAACUCUGAACAGGCAGUGGAAACUGAAUAGCUAGAGUGCGGUAGGGGCAGAGGGAAUUCCCAGUGUAGCGGUGAAAUGCGUAGAGAUUGGGAAGAACACCGGUGGCGAAAGCGCUCUGCUAGGCCGUAACUGACACUCAUGGACGAAAGCUAGGGGAGCGAAUGGGAUUAGAUACCCCAGUAGUCCUAGCCGUAAACGAUGGAUACUAGGCGUUGCUCGCAUCGACCCGAGCAGUGCCGUA